GUGAAGACUUUUUCCUGAGGGAGAAUAUACAGCAUGAAGCUGUAGCCUGUCCUAGUGGUGCACCUGUGCCUGCCAGGUCCUCCUAAAUCACCAAUUUCAGAGUCCCAGAGAAGGAAUGAGACCAUUAAGUCCAUAGCAUACCAGGACAAUAAUGCCCUUAAGAGCAUACCCUACAAAUGGACUUCUGGCCUCAGGUUGAAGAAUUCUGGGGAGGAAACAACCUACUACCUUCAGAGGAAGCACCUUCUACUUUGGGCAAAGUCAUUUAAUGUGGUUUACCUCAGUUUCCUCAUCUGCAAAAUGAACUGGAGAAAGAAAUGGCAAAACACUUCAACGUCUUUUCCAAGAAAAUCCCAAAUUGGGUCAAGAGGAGGUGAACAUAACUGAACAGUAGAACAAGAGAAUCACAUUUGUCACCCCUGUCUGUGCAUUGUCUGAUGUUGGAGGGAUGUGAAUGAAGAUCCAGAACUGGUCAGAUUCCAGAGUUGCUUGCCUCUUAGGAAAGUUGACCUCAGCUCAAUUGAUGGAUUCACUACCUCCUUGUAACAGUUUCUCAGCUGAAGUGUUUUCAGGUGUGAGUUUCCUAAUGGAAUGCUGGGAUUUGUGUCUGCCAUAUGGUGUCAACAGCAACAUCUGCAUCAACAUCUUCUGGAUAAUAAGCUCUCCUUGUCCUUUAACUGAAUUAGAAGAAAGACUACCGCAAUGGACUAGAAGCACUGGCAUCCCAACGAACUUUCUGAUGUUAGAUGAAAAGACAUGCAAGGGCACAAGAAGAAGCAUUUUAUAGAGGGGAUGAAGUUCUCUGUGUGUGUAUGUAUUAUUUGGAUAGUAACUGAUCUCAGACCCAGGAAAAUUUGGAUUCAAGCCUUGCCUUUGAUGCAUCCUGGUCGUGUGACCCUGGAGAGGACACUUAACUUCUCAGAGCUCGAGACAUCUCUGAGAUGAAGUUGCAAAGAAGAAAUGAAAUGUUAUCCUUUUCUGAGAAGCUAGAUUCAUUCAGGCACCGAGUUUUCUAGCUCAAGGAUAGAGUCCUUUUGAAUCAGCCUUUAUUGAAAAGGUUAACUCCACUUAUACUUUCUAAAUCUAGAUGAAAAUAAAAUAAGUGAGUUGUUCCA
rnacentral:lncRNA from 1 species